UACGUAGGGGGCGAGCGUUGUCCGGAUUCAUUGGGCGUAAAGAGCUCGUAGGCGGCUUGUCACGUCGGGUGUGAAAGCCCGGGGCUUAACCCCGGGUCUGCAUUCGAUACGGGCAGGCUAGAGUGUGGUAGGGGAGAUCGGAAUUCCUGGUGUAGCGGUGAAAUGCGCAGAUAUCAGGAGGAACACCGGUGGCGAAGGCGGAUCUCUGGGCCAUUACUGACGCUGAGGAGCGAAAGCGUGGGGAGCGAACAGG
rnacentral:rRNA from 1 species